rnacentral:tRNA from 1 species
CUAAGGAAUAUUACGGAAAUCCCACACAUUCGUUUUUACUUUGUUCAGUUUUGAGAGGUUAAUUUUUUUUGAAUUAAAUACCUUUUAAAGGGGCCUUAGCUCAGCUGGGAGAGCGCCUGCCUUGCACGCAGGAGGUCAGCGGUUCGAUCCCGCUAGGCUCCAUUGUAAUCUGAUUGCAGAUUACAGAAUUUGUUCUUUGAAAACUGGAUACUGUUUAAAAAGUAAUUAAAGUAAGAAACCGAGAAAACACCGCGUUUUAAAUGAGUUUUUUAAUUAGUUCUUAUCGUAAGAUAAUGAAUAAAAUCAUUGACUAACAUCAUGGGAUUCCUUCGGGAAUACCAUCGAUAAAAAUUUUGUGCUAAUGCGAAGCAAUUCGAGGAAAUGAGUGUUUGAGAAACGGAGCGUACUAGUGUACGUGAGUAUCACAAAACACGAAAUUAACGAAGAAGUGUGAAGUAGUAGUGCCAAAAUUA